rnacentral:pre_miRNA from 1 species
CGGGGGAGGCCGGAUCCUGGGCUGUGUCCCGGCGCCCUGUGCUCCGGGGCCUGCGCUGUUGGAUUCGGGCUCCCCCCCCCCCCCGGCAGCCCCCU